rnacentral:snRNA from 1 species
GAACUUUCCCCAAGGCAGUUUUCCCAGGGUGAGACCUGUUCAUUGCACUAUGGGCAGGCUGACCCCUGUGAGUUCCCCUGAAUGUGGGAAACUCGACUGCACAAUUUUGUGGCAAUGGGGAGCUGCAUUCACACUUCUCCCAC